rnacentral:rRNA from 1 species
AUUGAACGCUGGCGGCAUGCCUUACACAUGCAAGUCGAACGGUAACAGGUUAAGCUGACGAGUGGCGAACGGGUGAGUAAUGUAUCGGAACGUGCCCAGUCGUGGGGGAUAACUACUCGAAAGAGUGGCUAAUACCGCAUACGACCUGAGGGUGAAAGCGGGGGACCGUAAGGCCUCGCGCGAUUGGAGCGGCCGAUAUCAGAUUAGCUAGUUGGUGGGGUAAAAGCCCACCAAGGCGACGAUCUGUAGCUGGUCUGAGAGGACGAUCAGCCACACUGGGACUGAGACACGGCCCAGACUCCUACGGGAGGCAGCAGUGGGGAAUUUUGGACAAUGGACGCAAGUCUGAUCCAGCCAUGCCGCGUGCGGGAAGAAGGCCUUCGGGUUGUAAACCGCUUUUGUCAGGGAAGAAACGAGUUUCUCUAAUACAGAGACUUAAUGACGGUACCUGAAGAAUAAGCACCGGCUAACUACGUGCCAGCCGCCGCAGUAA